GCAAGUCGAACGCGUCUUGGUUAUUGAUGUUAGAUGCUUGCAUUUAACUGACUUAACAUUGAGACGAGUGGCGAACUGGUGAGUAACACGUGGGUAACCUGCCCUUGAAGUAGGGGAUAACACUUGGAAACAGGUGCUAAUACCGUAUAACAACCAAAACCACCUGGUUUUGGUUUAAAAGAUGGCUUCGGCUAUCACUUUAGGAUGGACCCGCGGCGUAUUAGCUUGUUGGUAAGGUAACGGCCUACCAAGGCAAUGAUACGUAGCCGACCUGAGAGGGUAAUCGGCCACAUUGGGACUGAGACACGGCCCAAACUCCUACGGGAGGCAGCAGUAGGGAAUCUUCCACAAUGGACGAAAGUCUGAUGGAGCAACGCCGCGUGAGUGAUGAAGGGUUUCGGCUCGUAAAACUCUGUUGUUGGAGAAGAACAGGUGUGAGGUGAGAGUAACUGUUCACAUCUUGACGGUAUCCAACCAGAAAGCCACGGCUAACUACGUGCCAGCAGCCGCGGUAAUACGUAGGUGGCAAGCGUUGUCCGGAUUUAUUGGGCGUAAAGCGAGCGCAGGCGGUUUCUUAGGUCUGAUGUGAAAGCCUUCGGCUUAACCGGAAAAGUGCAUCGGAAACCAGGAGACUUGAGUGCAGAAGAGGACAGUGGAACUCCAUGUGUAGCGGUGAAAUGCGUAGAUAUAUGGAAGAACACCAGUGGCGAAGGCGGCUGUCUGGUCUGUAACUGACGCUGAGGCUCGAAAGCAUGGGUA
rnacentral:rRNA from 1 species